rnacentral:lncRNA from 1 species
UAAUUUUUAAUUUUUUCUUUUUUUUUCCGAUCUACAACUCACAUAUAACCACACACAAUAAUCAACAGGCAUCAAUAAGGCAUCAACAUGACUAGCAAAAUCAUAGUACAUAUCAACUAAGAAUUUAUAUCAUAUUUGAGAGUAAAAAUAUUAUCAAUCGAUCGCCUCAAUAGGUUUUGUCCAAAUCCUUUUUUACCACGAGAAAAAACACCAAUUACAUAGUAUAGAAA